rnacentral:lncRNA from 1 species
UUAUGUUCUGUGCAUCCUCAUUUAUAUUGUCAAUAGCUUGAGUAUCUGAUUGGUCCUCUUUUAAACUAUCCAUUGCUAAAUUCAAUGCUACCACCUUAUUUCCACCUAACCACCUCCUAAACAGGUCAAUGUCAAAAUUGGAAACACGUUUUGGGUGAACAACAAAUCAGUAGUUGAGAAUCUUGGAUGAUUUUGUUGUUGAAAUCUUCAAGGGUAUCGAAGCACUUCGCUUAACGCACGUAUCUUCACAGUGGAGCAAGACUGACUUUGGGAUU